AGUGAACGCUGGCGGUAGGCCUAACACAUGCAAGUCGAACGGCAGCACAGUAAGAGCUUGCUCUUACGGGUGGCGAGUGGCGGACGGGUGAGGAAUACAUCGGAAUCUACUUUUUCGUGGGGGAUAACGUAGGGAAACUUACGCUAAUACCGCAUACGACCUACGGGUGAAAGCAGGGGAUCUUCGGACCUUGCGCGAUUGAAUGAGCCGAUGUCGGAUUAGCUAGUUGGCGGGGUAAAGGCCCACCAAGGCGACGAUCCGUAGCUGGUCUGAGAGGAUGGUCAGCCACAUUGGAACGUAGACACGGUCCAGACUCCUACGGGAGGCAGCAGUGGGGAAUAUGGGACAAUGGGCGCAAGCCUGAUCCAGCCAUACCGCGUGGGUGAAGAAGGCCUUCGGGUUGUAAAGCCCUUUUGUUGGGAAAGAAAAGCAGCAGGUUAAUACCCCGCUGUUCUGACGGUACCCAAAGAAUAAGCACCGGCUAACUUCGUG
rnacentral:rRNA from 1 species